rnacentral:lncRNA from 1 species
UUUGCACCCACUGACCCUGACCUUGGAAACAACAUGCCGCAGGGUGCACAUUCAGCUAAUGUUUGUUGAGUGAAUGCGGGAUAGUGACGUUGACUUAGAUUCUUCCUCUGACACAGAACAGAACGUCUGUGUUCUCCGUUGGCUUGAUAAUCAUCCAAAGCCCCAGAUGGAUGCAGAGAACAGUUUUGCUCAUUUUCUUCAGUGUGGGUGAGAAAGGUGGACCAGUCUGCAGUCAAACAUGCUUGAGGGAGAGCUCAUUGCUGGAUGUGUUUACGUCACUGACUGCUCCCACUGAAAAGGUCUACUACCUGUGGCCAGGUCUCUCCCUCCAGAUGGCCUGGUCCCCGGUGGGAAACUUGAGAAGCAGCCACAUGAACCACUUAGCCCAGCGCCCGGCCAUUGUCCUGGAAGACACCCGCAUCCAGUCUGCGCCUGCGCAAGGAGGACCUGCGCCGGAGUCCCUCUGAGCCCUGUAUCUCACCACCGUCUCACACCCACUUAACUGACCAUUAAUCAGAAAUCGGCUUGAGCACCACCAGAGCAAUGUACUAUAGGUGGGAGUGGGCAUGCCUCUUGUUUUUCCUAAACAAAAAUCAAUUAAAAUGCCAUUAUGCUAUAAAUA